UACGUAGGGCGCAAGCGUUGUCCGGAAUUAUUGGGCGUAAAGAGCUCGUAGGUGGCUUGUCGCGUCUGCCGUGAAAGCCCAUGGCUUAACUGUGGGUCUGCGGUGGAUACGGGCAGGCUGGAGGCUGGUAGGGGCAAGCGGAAUUCCUGGUGUAGCGGUGAAAUGCGCAGAUAUCAGGAAGAACACCAAUGGCGAAAGCAGCUCUCUGGGACGGUACUGACGCUGAGACGCGAAAGCGUGGGGAGCUAACAGG
rnacentral:rRNA from 1 species